rnacentral:tRNA from 1 species
GGCUCUGUGGUGGAAUUGGUAGACGCGCUGGACUCAAAAUCCAGUGUCCGCAAGGACGUGACGGUUCGAUUCCGUCCGGAGCCACCA